AGCGAACGCUGGCGGCAGGCCUAACACAUGCAAGUCGAACGAACUCUUCGGAGUUAGUGGCGGACGGGUGAGUAACACGUGGGAACGUGCCUUUAGGUCCGGAAUAACUCAGGGAAACUUGUGCUAAUACCGAAUGUGCCCUUCGGGGGAAAGAUUUAUCGCCUUUAGAGCGGCCCGCGUCUGAUUAGCUAGUUGGUGAGGUAAAGGCUCACCAAGGCGACGAUCAGUAGCUGGUCUGAGAGGAUGAUCAGCCACAUUGGGACUGAGACACGGCCCAAACUCCUACGGGAGGCAGCAGUGGGGAAUCUUGCGCAAUGGGCGAAAGCCUGACGCAGCCAUGCCGCGUGAAUGAUGAAGGUCUUAGGAUUGUAAAAUUCUUUCACCGGGGACGAUAAUGACGGUACCCGGAGAAGAAGCCCCGGCUAACUUCGUG
rnacentral:rRNA from 1 species